ACAGCAAGAUUGUUAAAAGAAACAAUAUUGAUGCUCCCCACCUUCUGUUCAAUGAUAUUCUGAAUAUUAAUAUUUGUAAAUACAUUAUACUAUUUAUGUAGUAAAGGAACACUUACCUUUUAAUACAUGAAUUAACAUUCCAAGAGUUUUGAUGAUCACCAGUGAGGGAAUUUUAUACAAAUACAUGACUGCAUAUUUAUUAUGUCUAUACAGAAUGCAUUUUGUAAGUAAAACCCCCCUUACUGUAUUUUAAGCUUCCAUAAACGUUUAAUUAUUUUAUUGUUGCUUAACACUUGUAAGGAGCGAAGCAGUUUCUUUGUUUAAUGGCGUCCUGGUAGGCAAAUUCUCAAUUUUUUGUAAUAUGUAUCCAUUUCAACUCACCACAGAGUUUUAAUAGUUAUUUUCCUCUAUGUUAUAUAUCAUAUCUCAUUUUACUAAAAAUCGCUCAUGGUAAGUCCUCAUCAGAGCUUUGUUUACAUUCGCUACGGCGGCCUUCUUGGAUUCUUAGAACUUGUCGACCCGGGUCGAUUUUCCUUAGUUGGUCGUUCGAUCAUAGGUCGGGUUGACCGGGUGCUGAAUCGACCAAGGAAGAUCAGCGUUCUUUUGGAAUCAUUCCGGUUCGAGCCUCAACGAAGAACGGUCGGGGUUUUUUUUGGAUCAUAGAACUAAAGAGGUGCUAUUCGGUGGAUGAUCAGCAGAACAGUUAAACUUGAAUCGCCGAUCCAGUUUGCAGAUAAGCUAUGCCAAGUAACAUGCUGAUGACACCAGUGUCGGUGAUGAAAGCUCUGGAAGAAUCGGUGUUCAGGCAUCUCCUGACAAGCAUAAAAUCUCCACAUAUACCGAAAGACCAGAAAUAACCAUCAAAAACAUUAAUGCCUCAGACGAUAAAAUCAUUUUUUAUACUGGUUAUGCAACUUUCUUUUUUUUUGGUUUUGACAUUCAUUGAAUUUGGUGCCGACAAGUAAUGUACUGAAAAACUGAACACUGUUAAGAUUGAGACAGGGCGUUAAAGAAAGUUAAGACCUGUUGAUGAGUUUCAAUGACAUACUAAACAAAUUAUUUGAUGCAACAUAAUAACUCUUCAUUACUAGUACUGUAUUGAUCAAUAAAACUUUUUUUUAAUCAUCCCCACGUUUUUCGGAGAAAAGUGGGGAUAUUGUGGUGAUGUGCGUCUGUCCGUCCGUCCGUCCGUCCUUGCCACCUGCUCCUCCUACACUAUUAGCACUAGAACCUUGCAACUUACAUACAAGGUAGCUAUGAGCAUAUGUGCGACGGUGACCGUGACGGAAUUUUGAUCUGACCCCUGGGUCAAAAGUUAUGGGGGUUUGGGCGGGGCCGGGUCAGUGAUUUUCACUAAUUUUUAUGCCACCGGAACGGUGCAUUGGCCGUAACUUUUGCAAUAUUGAUGAUAGCAACUUGAUAUUUGGCAUGCAUGUAUAUCUCAUGGAGCUGCAUAUUUUGAGUGGUUAAUGGUUAAGGUUAAGGUCAAGGUCAUCCUUCAAGGUCAAAGGUAAAAAAAAACAAAUCCAAGGGAAGUAAUAAGCUUUAAAGGAAGGUAAGCCAAAUGAUAUAAAAAUAAAUAAAUAAAUUAAAGUGGCGCAUAGAGUUACACAGUAGUGGCGCAGAGAUGUAUUUAGUAUUCAAUUGUUUGUGUUAACUCAUCUGUGAAAUGGUUUAGCUCAUCCAUCUAAUGUUUAUACAAGGGAUUAUAAAAUAUUGGAGCAAAGGGACACCUGUAUAUGAGAGAAGAGAUAGAAUGCAGUCAAGCAUAAAAAGCAUGAGAAACUCAUGGAAUAGAGCCUCAAGAAUCUAUAAAAGGGCUGAAACUUUCAAUUUGUGCAAUUACAAUUUUAGACUCAUUACUGAAAUCCUGUAAAAUUUUUAAGUGGGAAAAAUGUGAGAAACAAUUUAAAGCAAGGUGGACUUUGAACAGGCACAUCAAAGACAGUCAUGAAAUUCAACAUAUUCAUUGUUGUACAAGAUUGCGAUAGAAAAUUUCUGAGACGCUACUAUUUAGUCAACCAUUUAACCUCAAAACAUAACAUUUCCAAAACAGGAGCAAGAAGAUUGGCUAUAAGAGAGCAUGUUCAGCCAUCUCAUAAGUCAUUCCAAUUAGGAUGACAUGUACAUAAUUGACUACAGUGAAGUUGAUUCAUUAUUAGAUUUGUUAGGAGAGCAGGAUGAGGAGGAGAAAUUAGGGUAUAGAUUUUCACUCAUUUUUUACAUGAACUUCUUCAUUUCUACAGUGAAUUACUUCAAAUUUAUACUGAACAUCUCUUUUGACAAUACGGUCAAUCUCAACUAUGCAUGGCCCCAUUACCAACCCUGGGGCGCCCCUGUGUCAAACAUGCGGUGUGGGGAUACACGUCGGCCUCUGCCGCGCCAUUUCUAGUUUUGAAUGAGUUGUAUCUGUUCAUUGUGUUUUUGUUACUUGAGUGCUAUGUUACAGUCACAUGUUACAGUAAAAUAUACUUUCAAAUCACAUAUAUCACAGACCAUAUAAGUAUAGAUUGAUAUAUGUAUCACAACAGUACAUCUUCAUGUCCCAUUUUAUCAAAACUCAACAAUAGCAAUGUUUAUAAAAAAUGAACCAACAAAGACUUAGAAUAAUAUGAUAAUAUUUUUCAUUUUUAUUGUGCCCAGAUGAAUUUAUAAGUUUAUUUCUUUGAUGUCAAAAUGAAACGGUUUUCAGGUAACUGUAAAAAACUGACCAUUUUUUGGUUCAUUAUAAAUGUACAUACCGGUAUUUUCCAAAUAUAUAUGUUAUUAUUAUUAUUAUUAUUGUUUUAUUUCUAUAAGGUUCUUGCCAAUUACCUUGUUGAUAAAAAAAAAGAAUUUUCUGUCAAUAAAAUGCAAUUACUUUACCCUUUAGCAGCCGAGAAAUGGGGGCGCUAUUACAUGUAUUUUGAUCACUCUUUCAAUUGAUUAUACGAUAGGUGCGCGUUUAUAAGGGCGUGAGCGUUUAUUAGGAUAAAGACGGUAUGUCUUAUUACAUAAUUUUGCAGACAAUUCUAAACAUUCUGGUAUAAAGAGAUAUUGCUCAUUU